rnacentral:rRNA from 1 species
AAAGAAACCAACAGGGAUUCCCUUAGUAACGGCGAGUGAACCGGGAAAAGCUCAAAUUUGAAAUCUGCCAACAGGCCGAGUUGUAAUUUGUAGAUGGCUACACUGCAUAAUAGUAGAUGCUCAAGUUCUUUGGAAAAAGACAUCAUGGAGGGUGACAAUCCCGUGAGGCAUGUUAUUAGGAGCGUAUAGUGGGCUUUCUAAGAGUCGAGUUGUUUGGGAAUGCAGCUCAAAGUGCGUGGUGAAUACCAUGUAAAGCUAAAUAUGGACGAGAGACCGAUAGCGAACAAGUACUGUGAAGGAAAGAUGAAAAGCACUCCGAAAGGAGAGUGAAAUAGUACGUGAAAUUGUUAAAGUGGAAGGGCUUGAGAUCAGAAUUGGAGAUUUGGGUUCCACGUCCUCUUGGGGGCGUGUACUCCCUUUUUUCCGGGCCAGCGGGAGUUUUGUCUCUUGGGUAAAAGCAGUGGAAUGUAGCAGCUUGUCUGUAUUAUAGCCUCUGUUCAUACAAGAUGUCGGGACUUGUUUUGUUGGCGUAAUGAUCUCUA